GGAAAGGCGCGCGAUACAGGGUGACAGCCCCGUACACAAAAAUGCACAUGCUGUGAGCUCGAUGAGUAGGGCGGGACACGUGGUAUCCUGUCUGAAUAUGGGGGGACCAUCCUCCAAGGCUAAAUACUCCUGACUGACCGAUAGUGAACCAGUACCGUGAGGGAAAGGCGAAAAGAACCCCGGCGAGGGGAGUGAAAAAGAACCUGAAACCGUGUACGUACAAGCAGUGGGAGCACGCUUAGGCGUGUGACUGCGUACCUUUUGUAUAAUGGGUCAGCGACUUAUAUUCUGUAGCAAGGUUAACCGAAUAGGGGAGCCGAAGGGAAACCGAGUCUUAACUGGGCGUUAAGUUGCAGGGUAUAGACCCGAAACCCGGUGAUCUAGCCAUGGGCAGGUUGAAGGUUGGGUAACACUAACUGGAGGACCGAACCGACUAAUGUUGAAAAAUUAGCGGAUGACUUGUGGCUGGGGGUGAAAGGCCAAUCAAACCGGGAGAUAGCUGGUUCUCCCCGAAAGCUAUUUAGGUAGCGCCUCGUGAAUUCAUCUCCGGGGGUAGAGCACUGUUUCGGCAAGGGGGUCAUCCCGACUU
rnacentral:rRNA from 1 species